rnacentral:rRNA from 4 species
CGACUCUCGGCAAUGGAUAUCUAGGCUCUUGCAUCGAUGAAGAACGUAGCAAAAUGCGAUACUUGGUGUGAAUUGCAGAAUCCCGUGAAUCAUCGAGUUUUUGAACGCAAGUUGCGCCCGAAGCCAUUAGGCCGAGGGCACGUCUGCCUGGGCGUCAC